rnacentral:rRNA from 1 species
AUUGAACGCUGGCGGCAUGCCUAACACAUGCAAGUCGAACGGCAGCACAGUAGGUAGCAAUACCUAUGGGUGGCGAGUGGCGGACGGGUGAGUAAUGCUUAGGAAUCUGCCUUAUGGUGGGGGAUAACUAACCGAAAGGUUAGCUAAUACCGCAUACGCCCUUACGGGGAAAGCGGGGGAUCGAAAGACCUCGCGCCAAUAGAUGAGCCUAAGUCCGAUUAGCGAGUUGGUAGGGUAAAGGCCUACCAAGGCGACGAUCGGGAGCUGGUCUGAGAGGACGGCCAGCCACACUGGAACUGAGACACGGGCCAGACUCCUACGGGAGGCAGCAGUGGGGAAUAUUGGACAAUGGGGGAAACCCUGAUCCAGCAAUGCCGCGUGUGUGAAGAAGGCCUGCGGGUUGUAAAGCACUUUCGGUUGGGAAGAAAAGUUUGGCGCUAAUACCGCCGAACCUUGACGUUACUGACAGAAGAAGCACCGGCUAACUCUGUGCCAGCCGCCGCCGUAA